rnacentral:rRNA from 1 species
GGGGAAUCUUCCGCAAUGGACGAAAGUCUGACGGAGCAACGCCGCGUGUAUGAUGAAGGUCUUCGGAUUGUAAAGUACUGUCAUUGGGGAAGAACGGUUUUCUUGAAAAGAUUGAGAAGACAUGACGGUACCCAAGGAGGAAGCCCCGGCUAACUACGUGCCAGCAGCCGCGGUAAUACGUAGGGGGCAAGCGUUGUCCGGAAUUAUUGGGCGUAAAGGGCGCGUAGGCGGGCCUUUAAGUCCGGUGUGAAAGAUCAGGGCUCAACCCUGAGAGUGCAUCGGAAACUGGAGGCCUUGAUGACAGGAGAGGAAAGUGGAAUUCCACGUGUAGCGGUGAAAUGCGUAGAUAUGUGGAGGAACACCUGUGGCGAAGGCGACUUUCUGGACUGUAACUGACGCUGAGGCGCGAAAGCGUGGGGAUCAAACA